CAACAAGGAGGAGUGGAAAGAGAACAGGAAAAGGACAACUGAUAUUUCUGUUUUCAAAAACAGAGCAGGGAAGACGACGUGCACAUAUCCUGGAGACGAGGAGUGAGGCAUGGAGACUGCCUGCCCAGACUGGGAGUGGGGGCCUUGGUGACCCACCCUCAUGAGCCAGCCCUCCUCUUCAGGCGACUCCCCAUUUCUGGUGCACUCUGUGGCCACCUGAGCGGUCCCCGAUGUAGGACACCCCUUCUGUGGGCCAGAUCUCAGCAGCCCAGUGACUGUCAGCUUGGUGCGUAGUGAGACCCAAGGAUUUCCUCAAGGGUUGCGUAGUUACCACCCCUUGUUUUCUAGGCUUGGAGCGAAGGUAGUGAUGUGAUUCUCUAAUGAACUUAUUUUGGUUCAAAAUUUAACAUCCUAUCAGUUCUGGCUAGUAAUCAAAACCAGCCAAUCAACAACAACAAAUUGUCACUUGGUGGUAGGUGUUGGGAUCCAGAACUGAGCUUUCUGUUUCCUAGCAACAGAAUUCCGCACUCUGCUCAUCUCCCAUCUUCAAUAUCCAUCGUGGUCUCUCCCAGGGCCCUGGGAGCCAGCAGCAUCUGCCCUUGCCUGUGGACUGCAUCCCGCCUGUGUCUUUGUAAUGAGGCCCGUCUGUGCACUUCCUUGUAAGAUCCAGUUUUAACAAGAACUGUGCACCUGCACCUACGUGCUCAGGAAACAGACGUUGAAUGAAGGAAUGUCCAGAACACAACAGAAGUUCAGAAUGGACAGGAUGAGAUGGAAUGUGUAACACUUUAAAAUCCAGGUCUCAGGACCUCGAGUGGCUCCGUGGGAAGGGUCCCCAGCACCCACGAGACCCCAGGGGUCUCUGGACUCCUCCUCCUCAUGCAGAGGAAGACACUCUGACUCGGGAAAGAUGAGCUCCUGUUAGUGUCCACUCACCUGCAGGAAGCCGGCACCUGGGGUGGGUCCUGCGGCCCGGUCCUGCAGUGCUCAGAGCCUUCCUGUAGCAGGACCAUCUGGUGAGCACCUGGACUUGGGAGCUUGUCUCCUGAGGGGACACGAGAGGGAGCAGUGGGGAUGGGGACACUGACCCCAAGGACACACCUUCUCCGUCCUCAGCUUGUUUGUAGGAGCGAACCAGUUUUGC
rnacentral:lncRNA from 1 species